rnacentral:rRNA from 1 species
UACGAAGGGGGCUAGCGUUGCUCGGAAUCACUGGGCGUAAAGGGUGCGUAGGCGGGUUUUUAAGUCAGGGGUGAAAUCCUGGAGCUCAACUCCAGAACUGCCUUUGAUACUGAAGAUCUUGAGUCCGGGAGAGGUGAGUGGAACUGCGAGUGUAGAGGUGAAAUUCGUAGAUAUUCGCAAGAACACCAGUGGCGAAGGCGGCCAACUGGUCCGGUACUGACGCUGAGGUGCGAAAGCGUGGGGAGCAAACAGG